UCACUUAUGCAUCAAGACAACACUCAUCCUGCUUUUGGGGACAGCUUUGGUCUUCUCCUGGGGUAAAAACAGCAGUCAUCCUUGACAAUGGAGUCAGUCUGUGACCAUCUGACCACUUCCAGAAAUCCCAGCCAAUGACUGCCAGUGCAAAUGUCACACCACCCUAUGGAUGUAACUAGAAAUUAGUCAUGGAUGGCAGUACAGUUUGGAAUACAAAAGGGAUGUCUACACUUCAAGGCUGAAGACAUGCCACUGAGCUGGAUAUAGAACCAAUAUGAAUUCCAUCACCACAGAAACCAGCUGGGGAAAGAAUAUUGAGAAUAUUGUUUUGGAGAGAAUAUUGCUUUGGAUUAUAUGAUGCAACAUGAAGAAAGAGACAUCCAUGGAAAAAAAUCAACCAGGAGAGAAAUAUGACUAUAAAAGUUCUGAGAAAAAUGUAGUUUGUGAAAAAGAUGUUUUAUGACUUCUUUACAAGGGAAAUUAACCACAAGAAAGACAGAAAAUUUAUAUUACAAUAAAUUUUUAAUACACUGCAUGC